CCAUGCUAUGGGCCAUUCAGACUUUGACUAGUGGAUGGUGAAGAGCUUUGGAAGCCAGUUUACAGAGAUUGCCUAAUGGCAAAGAAGGGUAUUUUCAGGAGCCUUCUGAGUGCAACACCAGCAAAAUUUCACAAAUCAGUGGAGAAAACAAUUUCAAAAGAAGAGUGAGCUGUGGAAAUUCUUUUGCAGCAGGACUCCUCUUUGUUGUCUGGAAAUUCAGUAAGCUGUGCUUGCUUCUUACUGCAUCUCCAGUAUCCCAUCAAUCCUCUUUGUGAAGUUCUAUUGAUUCUUCUCAAUGGUGACCAUAUAAUGAAACUUUGUAAGACACCAGCCACUGUGCCAGACAUUCGACAAGAAGAGAAAGGGAGAAGGAACAAAUUCAAGGAAGAAAGGGGAAGAGUGGUGAGCUUACUGGCUGCUCAGAUGAUUUUGCUUGGUGGAGUUUCAUUAAUAUGGUGCACAGCUUAGAGGAGGAACUGGUUUCAAAAGGCAGGUACAGCAAUUUGCAGCUUUUGGUAAGAAACGUCUGGAGAACUGGACAAUACAAGGAAGAUUCUGUGGCAUGGGGAAAAUCGAGAGAUUAUACCUGUACCAGCCCAACUUUUUCUAUUGAAUAAGAUUGUGGACUCCUUUAAGAAUUGGGAUUAGUUGCUGAAUGCCUACAUCGUGCGGGAUCCACAAAACACCGGAGCUGUAUCAGACAAGAAUGCAGCUCAGUGUUCCAGACUCUAGUCCAGACAGUGAACAAUCGUGAAAACUUCAUUUGAUGAUAAAACAAGAGAGAAAUGUGAAGCAGGCUACAGUGAAGAACGGCAGCAGAUGAGGCUGUAUGUGGAAUGGCUGAGAGGGCCCACCAUCAGCAGGAGCACAAUGAGAAUGCCAGCAAUGGAAGGCACUCUUGGUUCUGUUAGCAGGACUGGAACUUGAACUUGUAAGCGUCUUACAGUUCAGCAGAGACUACGUCCUUUAGUAUUUCCUUGUCAUCUCAAGCAAUUUUUUAAAUGAGCAUCUGCAAUGAUUUGAGGCUGUAGUCAUGACCAUCUCACAUGUCAUGGGAUACCUGGAAAAGAACCAUUUCUGGGUCAGUCUUGCUGAAGAGGUUGGAGCAGAAGGAUCAGAGCCAGUAUCCAGAGCCUCCUGUCAGCACAGACCCUGUCUGUGAGCAGGGAACCUUCUGUUUAUUUUCCACCAAGUAGCUUUAAGUGAUCCCCUUUCUCUGUUGCACCACUUCCCUGAAGUUAACUGAUGGACGCUUCGAAGCCCUGCUAUUCAUCCAACAUCUGUUUCUCUGAUUCUGCAGGCUCCUUGUUGUUUUGAAGUGCUCGAAGUCAAUGUUUUAAGUGCAUGUGGGCAUAAUAUUCAGCAUAUUAAUACACACUAGAGACAGUUCCACCUACUAGAAAGCCAGGUACUACAGGGUUAUAAAAGCCAUUUGAUACCUUGUAAAGCCCAAGACACCUCGCCAAUGCCCAGGCCCUGUUUCUUGAUGU